CACACUUUCUUAUUUUAUUGAUAACUGGGAAGAAACAUACACUCAAGGCAGAGAGUAACAGUCCCAGUCCCAGCCCCAUCUCACACACUCCACACAAACAAAGCCCAAAAAGCAAACGGCAAAAUAAGCUACAAACUAAAUGUGCAGAUGCCCUGCAAAGACCAGGACACCGUCAAGGCCUCAGCCCAUGAAACCCAAGCUCUAUAUGGCGAGCACCAGCCCCGGCAUAGACUUACCAGCACGAUCCGGUAACUUGCUCUGCCAAACGGGCAGGCAGUGCAGCGCCGCCGCCGCCGCCCGCUUCGACGAAGAGGCGGAGCAGUCUGAACCAGCGUCGACGCGUGUGACCGUGACUGUAGUAUUGAAGUACUCUCGCACCUGAGUAAUCACCCCGUCCGUCACGGUCCAGGCGUGAACCCAAAACAGGGAACCUGCUCUACCCUCCACGAGCACGGUGUCCGGACCGAACGCCUCGACCGAGAGGGGCAGGAAAGCGAAAUCGGAGUCGGAUUUGAUCGGCUCCUCUGCUCCGGUGAGCAGGCGCAUCAUGUACUGGUGCGCUGGGGGGCCAUGGAACCACCACUCGAUGUCAGGGGCGAGGAGCUGCUGUACCGUGUCUACGUCUCGGGCGUUCAGGGCCUCAUACAGUCGGAGAACCACCCACCUGUUGCGCUCCGCCGCCGUCUCCGCCGCCGGUUGUUGGAUCUCGCUGAUGCAUUCGCUAGAGUUAGCCAGCUCCGAGCGUGCCCCUCAAAGGCUUUUGAAUCAGAGGAGGAGAGAUCAGA
rnacentral:misc_RNA from 1 species